UACUGCUUGAAAGUCUUCUUAAUAAAUCAUUAGCUCAGCAGAGACACGUUUCCUGAAUUUAUGGAGGAAGUGAUAAAUCACUAGAAAAUACAUCCUUCCUAUUAAAGUGAGUCCUUGGCCUCUUUCCCAGCCCCUCCUGGUAAACAGAAUGGUCUAGGCCAAGGACACCUGGCCUGUGGAUGCUCGACAGGCCCCGAAAAACUGGCGUUCAAGAAAGCAGAUUGAACAGGAGAAUCUGGAACCAGGAGUGAGCAGAGCUGGCCCCAGGCCUUGGUGGCUGUGUACUAGUUCUGUGACCUGCAAUCAGUCACUUAACUUCUGUGAGCUCCUCUCUUUCCGUCUGUAAAAAAGGAAUAUGUACUACCCACUUCCUGAGUAGAUGUUGAAGAUGUUGUAAAAGGUUCGAGUCAACCAAUUAAAAGCAAUAGAUCACAUGAAGAUGAGUAUAUCUUCUGUUUGUUGGGACAUAAUCCAGAGAGGAUCUUUCUCCCCAGAUAUUAUGGGAUGGCCACAUUUUACAGCUGAGAGUGACAAGGCUUAGAAACUAAACAUAUAAGGUCCUGCCCCAUCUCCUGGAAGAAGGAAUGCUACACAGAGAGGCUAAGAAGACUCUGGACAGUGCAGAAUCUGGAGCUAGAGAAAAAUUUAAAAAGCCACAAGGAUGUGAAUUGCUGAGCCUGAGAUAGAAGAGGAAUACAAAAACAGGGCAGAUAAAAAAACAUACCUGGAGAGCAAAAUCAACAGAACUUGAGUGCAUAUUACACGUGGACACAGCAGAGAAAUAAAGUUGAAGAUGACUUAGAAGAAAAGGAAGCCUUGAGAGUUUAUGUCAAGUUACCAAGAGAGGUUGAGGAUUCUUCUUCAAGGCUCACCUGCUCACCUUAAGUAAGCUGCUGCUGUCUCAACGUAAGAUCAGUAAAAGGCUUCUUGAGGGUCUAUCGAGUUUUUAAAUGACUGAUGCUUCUAUAUAAAGAAGGUGACAAGAACUUCAUGGAACUUCUACCACAUGCCAUACCUUCCACAAUAUGAACUAUCUCAUUUAAUCUGCAAAAAGCCCAUUUUUCACAAAAGGCAAUGGAGGCUCCACAUUGCUGGCCAGAGUGGUAUUUUCUGUAGCUGUAAAUGUAUUUUCUGUAGCCAAAAUAAAAUAAAUGUCCAGUUAUAUAAGAAUAACUGUAUAAAUGACAAUAUAUCCAUCUAAUGGACCAUUACACAGCCAUUAAAAAUGGCAGCCUUGAAAGCAAUUUUAUGCCAUAUGAAAAUGUUCAUGAUAUAAUGUUAUAAUGAUUGAAAAAAAUUAGAGUGCCCAAUAAUACGCAUGAGAUUUCAGUUUUACAAGAAAUAUUCACUCUCAGCAGGAAGAAUGAAACUGAGCUCAAGUAAGGUGCUCCUGUCCUAGACUGUGCAUUCAUGCAUCAUGUGUUCCAAACAAGUAAAACUUACAGUAGUAUCUGCCCUUUUGAUAUUGCCCACUGAGACCUGCCAUGCUCAUGUGAAUCUUCUUUUUCUAGCUGAUAUUUCUGAAGUCAGAAUUUUGUCAGCUCCCAAAUCAUCUGCCAUACUCCUCCUGCCCCUGUGCUUUGCCCUGUCUGGAUUUGUUCUUGUUUUUGUCCUUGCCUCAUUGUAAACUAGUAGCCUGGCAUACAUCUAUGUAUUCAAUGGUUUUUACUUUCAUUUCUCAUAUGUCUAUAGAAGGUCUAUACUGGUGUUAUCCCAUGGGGAUAUGGAAGCCAUAAAUACACUGUACAUAUGUAAUGUGAAAUUUUUCAGAAUUCACACUAAGAUAUGUGGAUACUUUUUACAACAAAAACAGAAACAAGU
rnacentral:lncRNA from 10 species